GUGCUCACUUAAGCAGCACAUGUACAAAAAUUGAAACGAGACAAGAAGAUUAGCUUGCCCCUGCAAAAGAAUAACAUUCAAACUCAUCAAGCAUUCAGUAUUUUC